CAGUAGCCGCGGGAAAACGUAGGGCGCAAGCGUUAUCCGGAAUUAUUGGGCGUAAAGAGCUCGUAGGCGGUUUGUCGCGUCUGCCGUGAAAGUCCGGGGCUCAACCCCGGAUCUGCGGUGGGUACGGGCAGACUAGAGUGAUGUAGGGGAGACUGGAAUUCCUGGUGUAGCGGUGAAAUGCGCAGAUAUCAGGAGGAACACCGAUGGCGAAGGCAGGUCUCUGGGCAUUAACUGACGCUGAGGAGCGAAAGCAUGGAGAGCGAACAGGAUUAGAUACCCCCGUAGUCCCUGUCUCUUAUAC
rnacentral:rRNA from 1 species